rnacentral:rRNA from 1 species
CCUCCCCUUCCUUUCCUUUUCCCCUCCCCCUCCUCUUCUCCUUUUUUUUAAUUCGAAGCAACGCGAAGAACCUUACCAGUCCUUGACAUCCCUCUGCAGGCAGUUAGAGAUAGCAGUCGUUACCCUUCGGGGUACAGAGGUGACAGGUGGUGCAUGGUUGUCGUCAGCUCGUGUCGUGAGAUGUUGGGUUAAGUCCCGCAACGAGCGCAACCCCUAUUCUUAGUUGCCAACACAUAAGGUGGGGACUCUAAGGAGACCGCCGGGGAGAACUCGGAGGAAGGUGGGGAUGACGUCAAAUCAUCAUGCCCCUUAUGGUCUGGGCUACACACGUGCUACAAUGGCCUGUAACAAAGGGUAGCUAAAGCGUAAGCUGGAGCCAAUCCCAUAAACCAGGUCUCAGUUCGGAUUGUGGGCUGCAAUUCGCCCACAUGAAGCAGGAGUUGCUAGUAAUCGCGAAUCAGAAUGUCGCGGUGAAUGCGUUCCCGGGUCUUGCACACACCGCCCGU